rnacentral:ribozyme from 13 species
UGCAAAAAAAAAAAAAAAAAAAAAAAAAAAAAAAAAAAAAAAAAAA